GUUUUUGAGGCUGGGCCGCAGUAUCACUUUGCUGACAGCUAACAGGAACUCCAGGAGAAGUCCCGUUUUUAUGCCACACAGCAAAUAAAGUGACAGUUGGCAUAAAAUAUCACUGCUCUGACAUGAGGAAGCCUUGGUGCCAAGUCUGUGGAAGCAUGAACAAAACCAGUAACAAGACAGGAGAUGAUCAGUCAGUCCUUUUGUGGUUGUGUCCAGCCCAUGCUGCUGCUGUCUCAAAGGAGUUGAGAGAUUCACAGGAGCCAAGGAACUUUGCAUGCUGUGGUUCUCAAAGGACACAGAUGCUACUGUAUCCAUUUAAAAUGUCUUUGCUGCUUGACUUCCCCUGACAUCCACUUCCCUGUCUCUGU